UUGUAGGUGGUUUUUUAAGUCGAAAGAAACAAAUUAAAGCUCAACUUUAUAUAUUUUUUCAAAACUGAUAAACUGGAGUAUAAAUAGAGGAUAAUGGAAUUUCUAUUGGAGUGAUAAAAUACGUUGAUAAUAGAAGGAAGAUCUAUGGCGAAGGCAAUUAUCUGGGUAUAUACUGACACUGAGAAACGAAAGCUUGGGUAGCGAACGGGAUUAGAUACCCCGGUAGUCCAUGCUGUAAACGAUGAGUGCUAAUAUUUAGAAUUUUUAGAUAUAACAGCUAACGCGUUAAGCACUCCGCCUGAAAAGUAUAAUCGCAAGAUUGAAAUUCAAAGGAAUUGACGGGAGUCUACACAAGCGGUGGAGCAUGUGGUUUAAUUCGAUAAUACGCGCAGAACCUUACCAACUCUUGCUAAUUUUUAUAUAAAAUAUUAUAUAAAAAACAGGCGUUGCAUGGCUGUCGUCAGCUCGUGUUGUGAAAUGUUUGGUUAAAUCCUUUAACGAGCGCAACCCUUAUUGUUAGUUGCUAAUUUACUAAAAAAAAUAAAAGUACUCUAACAAAAAAAUUAAUGAUAGGUUAAUGGAAGGUGGGGAUGACGUCAAGUCUUCAUGGCCCUUAUGAGUUGGGCUACACACGUGCUACAAUGAUAAUCACAAUGAGAGGCAAUAAUGAUAAAAGUUGGAGCAAAUCUUUAAAAAUUAUCUUAGUUCGGAUUAAGGGCUGAAACUCGCCCUUAUGAAGUUGGAAUCGCUAGUAAUCGCAGAACAGCAUGCUGCGGUGAAUAUGUUACUGGACUUUGUACACACCGCCCGUCACAUCAGGGAAGUUGAUUAUUUUUAAAAUAAUUCUUAAUUAUUUAAUAUAAUUAUCUAAUUAUUUAAUUAUAUUAAUUUAUAAUUUAUAUUAAAUAACUUAAAAUUCCUAAAAAGUGAUUAGUAACUUUGAUGAAGUCGUAACAAGGUAGUCGUAGGGGAACCUGUGUCUG
rnacentral:rRNA from 1 species